rnacentral:lncRNA from 1 species
UGAAGAGCCAGUCACCAUGGCCACAUCUUGAGGUCACACAGUCAGCAGUUCGCUUUGCUCACUCAGUCCUAUAAGGGGAAGAAAAGACUCCUUGCUCAUUCUGAGAAGGCACAGCAAAAUAUGACAUUAAGAUUACCCGUCAGUUUGGCCAGAACAGCAAGGUGGCCAGUGGGCUAGUGUGAAAUAAUUAAGAGGACAAUUCAUAGAAAAUGGAAAUGGAAAGACAGCAGGAGGGCAGACCAAACAGUAUCUCCUGGACCCGUUAAAGGCUUUGGAUUUUACACUGGAGAAAUGGAAAGCCUGCGACUAACUGAAAAAGUUACACAGCU